UUGCAUCUGUAGCCAGGGAGGAUGAGAACCUCCGGGGGCAGGAGGUUCGACUCGAGCGCAGCGAGAGAACGUUGCGUCAGCAACGGCCCGCAGGGCGAGCCACAAAGUGGCGAGUCAUCCUCUAUCACCGACCA
rnacentral:sRNA from 1 species